GGGGCGCGAGCACGCAAGCCGGCGGAAGGGGGAACAUGGCGGAGAAGGCCUCCAAGAGUGUGAAGAUCGCUCCCGGAGCAGUCGUGUGUGUGGAAAGCGAGAUCAAGGGGGAUGUGACGAUAGGUCCCAGGACCGUGAUCCACCCCAAAGCGCGCAUCCUCGCCGAAGCUGGCCCGAUAGUCAUCGGGGAAGGGAACCUCAUAGAAGAGCAGGUUCUCAUCAUCAACGGCCAUCCUGAAAACAUCACCCCCGACUCCGAAGAUGUGGAACCCAAAACCAUGGUCAUCGGCACCAACAAUGUGUUCGAAGUCGGGUGCUAUUCACAAGCAAUGAAAAUGGGCGACAACAAUGUCAUUGAAUCAAAAGCGUACGUGGGUCGGAACGUGAUCCUCAGUAAUGGGUGCAUCAUUGGAGCCUGCUGCAGCCUGAACACCUUUGAGGUCGUCCCCGAGAACACAGUGAUCUAUGGCACGGACUGUCUGCGGAGGGUGCAGACCGAGCGCCCCCAGCCCCAAACACUGCAACUAGAUUUCCUGAUGAAAAUCCUCCCCAACUACCACCACCUCAAGAAGACCAUGAAAGGAGGCUCCACUCCCGUCAAGAAUUGAUGGCUCUGGGCCGUUUGACAGCACCGUCUCUUUAAGGUGCUUCUGGCCCACCCGUGGACUCCCCUGAAGGAGAGGAAGUCAUAGACUCUACUCCCAGAAACCCUUGCAUGAAAAGUGAAGUUGUUUCACAACAGUGCGCUGCUUAUACGUAUGGAAAUGGUGAUUAUGAUGAUGAUGGAGCUUCUCAAAUAGCGAUGGUCUUGAAACUGUAACUCUGAGGUAUUGCUUUGGACCCUAUUAGACUUUAUUGAACUAUCAAAGGGAGGAAAGAUAUUUUAGCUUAUAAAUCCAUAAAUGUCUGUCUCUCCCUCUAGGUUGUAAGCUCGUUAUGGGCAAGGAAGGUAUACUGCUAAUU